GGGGAUUAAAAAAAUAACCUUUAUCUGUGUCCUGGCUGCUGCCUCUUCUUUCUUCUUCCUGUGUUUGAAGACUUGAAAGUCCUGGUGGAAACACUGAUGUGUGAAGUGACUGUUGAAGCAGUCACAGCACAAGUAGAGCAAAGAGGACUGUCUAUGGCAUAGAGCUGGCCAUGAGAAGAGGGGAAAGCCACAGUCAUCUCUGGGACACAAGGACCUUGGGUGCUGGACCCCACUUCCUAUGCGGUGGUGGUAGUAAACAGGAGAGACUUGAACAGAACUCACAAGGCCACAAUAAGAAUCCACUCUCGGUUCCUUUAUCCUGCUAUAAUGUGGCACAGGCACUCUGGAAUGCUAUGAGAUGGGAGACAAGAAUAUGAACAAUGAGCUGAAUUUUUUCUUGCCUCCUCUAAAAUUGGUCUUCAGGAGAGUGAAAAGGAAGGUUUGAUUGCUACAUGUUCCAAGAUGAGGGACUCCCAAGUCUUCAUGAUCAUCUUUGCAAUCACUGCUGUUGUUCUGGCUUUUAGAUUGUAGAUAUUUUCUAAGACAGUGUUGGGUUCUGAAGAUGGUUCACAUAUGCCAUUCACUUCUGUGUUGCCUGAGCUCUUCUUAUUGGCCAAAGAAGAGGGUAGCCUUUCUGUACACUCAAGGAGAAUAUAGAGAAUGUAAAUGAAAAGGACUUACUUAGUUAAAACACUUUUUUUUUGCAUAAAGGAAAAUGUGGGGUAUUAUUAAAACUAGUAUGAUUUAAUUUAUUCUUUGAUUUGUGCUAAGACCAAAGUAAAAUUUCAACAGUUGGAUCUGUCCUCGAAUAGUUCAUAAGUUAAGUAAACAGGGCUUCUUGGAUAAGUGCUAUGUAAGAAUAGGAAAAGGCUUCUGCUUUGCCCAUUGAAAACAUGGGCAAAAUAUCUACCCAACACAUCACGUAAGCUCCACAUGCACUAGCUACAAUUUUAUGUUUGUCUGAGAAGUAGAUGGAUGCUUAUUGUAACACUAAUCUCACUGUUUCGUCAUUUGGCUUUCUGACACCUAUCUUGAAAAUGGCUUGUGUGGAUUAAGGCCCAGGUUUCUGUUCCUAUAAUGAAGGUAACACUGAUACCCUGUGUCUAGUUAUAAAGAAUAACAAAGCAGUGAGGAGCCGGUGUAUCUAUUCUUCUUUGUGACAAGGAGUGAUUUAUAGCAACAUGCCAUGCUGAGCUUAUGCUCUAUCUAACAAGGGUAGUUAUGAUUUAAGUGAACCAUGCUAGAUCAAAUUCCAAGGAAAGUUUUGUAAAGUUUAAUUAAAUUCAAUAGAAUGAUUUUGUUUCUGUUUCUAUUUUGCUGGAUCGGAUGUCUGCUAGUGCCACACAAUAAAGGGCCCUAAGACUUGAAUGAAUUUUGCUAUUGAAAUUAAUCAUUCAAAAUAUCUGAUCCUUUGUUUCCUUUCCCUUCUUCUCAUUUCUUUUUGCCACCAGUUUCUCUAUCUUUUGAUUAGUUUUGUUUGUUUAUUUAUUUAUUCAUUUAAGAUGAUCUAUUUGAUUUUAAGGAGAAAUUGGGCAGGGAUAAUCAUCACAGCAAAACUGCAGUAAUAAAAUUAAAAGGAAUCAUACACGGUAUUUGUACAGGAUGUUGAUGCUUACAAAAAAAAAAAAAAUCCCUGAACUCUCAUGAUCUCAUGUAAUUCAAGCUGACUUAAAUCCUUCAUUGUAUUUUAAAUGGGCUUGUUUUAGUGUCUGUAAUUUCAAGUUGUUUUUUUACUAAUUGAUAAAAUUGGAAACAAGUGUGCUGUAAAAAAAUUCAGAGCCAUUUAGAGUGUAAGUCACUAGGUGAUUCUUUUUUUCUUCAAAGUGACAUGGAGGGCUCUGUCAGAUUGAGUGUUCAAGCAGAUAAAUGACUGGGUUGAGAAUUACCAUACGCUUUCCCCUCUUGGCGAGCCACAGCGUCCUGGCGGAGAAACCGUAGCCAGAGCUUCUGUUCUGCAAAGCAUCUCUCCGGAACCUUCCCGCAAAGGCACAGCCUGCACUGAAGCCAGCCCACCGCACCAUCCUUCCCUUUGCAAGCAAAUGCCUGUGGACGGUACAGCUUAGUGGACAAUUACUAAAUUUGCUUUAAGAGUAAAUAUAAUGCCAGAGCGACAAACUAAUCAGUCAAUUGUUAUUUUGACACAUUUAGUUACCUUUUAGAAAAUGCCCUCCUAAUUUUUCGGCUUGACAUGAUCUCCGCGUCCAGUAGAAAGCCGAGGAUUUUUCAUCCCAUUGACAGGAAUCCAUUAAUAAAACAACAAUCUUUUGUGUAUAGUAAUCUUUAAUCUUAUUUUGUCACACACUUCUCAGUAGCAUUUCCACCCGUUUUACAGUAUAAUUUAUGGCACCGAAACAACUCCUGCCCUGGAAAAGGUCACUCUGUCAAGGUUUACUUGUCUUUGAAGAAAAGUAAUAGAGCAUUAUUUAUGAACCAAAGAAUGCACUUCACUACUUUAAUCAAUCAGGAAGAUGCUUGUAUUAUUGUAUCUUUUGCCACUGCCUGCCCUCCCCCCCCCAAAAAAAAACAUAAGCAAAGGAUCUGCCAAUCUUGCUUUCUCUUUUAUGUCGCAGAAGGCCUCUUACCUUUUAUGUCUCUUCUGCUUUUGUGUUUAUGGCGCGAUGAAAGUAACAAGGCUGAUGAUGUCUGAUAUCUGGGAACAAUUUGUAAAUUAUAUGCAAGGGGUUGAUCUUUUCUAAAGAUCAUAGAACCUCUGGACAGAUUAACCAGCUCAUCCAAUAUGCUUAUCAUGUGAAAUUCAUCUGAUAAAACAGAAGGGGAUUUGCAAUUAAAGGCUUCACAGAUAAAGAAAAAGUUGAAGAGGUUUGAAACUGUCUCAGAGAGUAAUCAGCAAAACAAAAGCAAUUAUCAUGUUUUUGUACAGAAGAUCCCAAAACAUAACCACAGUUGGUCCCCAUAUGUUUCUAGAAACCACCAGAAGCACAAAUUAGAACAUGCUGUGUGGGAAAAUGAAUUGGUAGUUCAUUAGAGAAAACAGUUACAGUUUGAAUAAAUGUCUCCAAUAAGGAUUUAAUUUAAGUUACAAAGGAUGUUGGGUGUGAAUUAAAUACCAAUAGAUACCGAUGCCAUCUUAAUAAUUUAAAAGUAUGUGAAAAAUAUAUUUAAUUACAAAAUGGUUAAAGAUGGAUCCAUGCAUUUUUGGUUAUCUAUUUUAUAACACAUGGGUAUGACUGUAAGAAUAUGUUAAAAUAUGUAAAAAUCUAUUGACGACUCUUUAGAGUUUAUUGGAAAAAAU